rnacentral:sRNA from 1 species
ACCCUGCGUCAGAAAACAGAUGUUGAGUUAAGGGAUUCCUAAAUUGUUAGGUUGUCCGGUUAUCAAUGUUGUAGUUCUGUGUUAACCGUAAGUUUUUAUUUUAGGAGUUUCAAAAUGGCAACAGGCACUGUAAAGUGGUUUAACAACACGAAGGGUUUUGGUUUUAUUGCACCUGCUGAUGGCGGCGAAGAUGUUUUUGUUCACCAUUCAGUUAUUCAGGGCGAAGGCUUCAAAACUUUGACUGAAGGCGACACGGUCACUUUUGACAUCGAAUCAGGUCCAAAAGGCUUAACUGCUGCUAAUGUUUAUUCCAAAUAAGGAAUAGACAGCUUUAAAAAAAGCCCUUGCGAUUCACAUCGCAAGGGCUUUU